UGUCGCAGCGGCUGGAGAGAAACGACGGCGGUUUGGCGACAUUUCUCGGCCAAAAGGCCUUUUGCUUUUGCGGAGAUGCGGCAUUCCAAACGAACUCACUGUCCUGAUUGGGAUAGCAGAGAAAGCUGGGGCCAUGAAAGCUACAGUGGAAGUCACAAACGGAAGAGGAGAUCUCAUAGCAGUACGCAGGAGAAUAGGCAUUGUAAACCACAUCAUCAGUUUAAAGACACUGAUUGAUGUUCCAUUGGGGCUGUUUACCAGAUUGCUUUCUAAAUUAGCCAGCUGGGGUUACUUUAAAAACAGGAUCUUUGUGUACAAAUCUUUGCCUGUGGUUAUUUCCUGAGAGUAGAUUCUAAGAAGAGGCAUUUUCAAGUUAAAGGUGCUCCAUGUGCAUCCCUCUUGAAGCUUCGCACUCUGUUGAAGAGGACACUCAUCCCAGUCACUAUUUAGAAGCAAGAUGCUUGAAUGAGAGAGAUUAUCGGGAUCGGAGAUACAUUGAUGAAUACAGAAAUGACUACUGUGAAGGAUAUGUUCCAAGACAUUACCAUAGAGACAUUGAAAGCACUUACCGGAUCCAUUGCAGUAAAUCCUCAGUCAGAAGCAGGAGAAGCAGCCCUAAAAGAAAACGUAACAGACACUGUGCGAGUCAUCAGU
rnacentral:lncRNA from 1 species